AUACAACGACUCUCGGCAACGGAUAUCUCGGCUCUUGCAUCGAUGAAGAACGUAGCGAAAUGCGAUACUUGGUGUGAAUUGCAGAAUCCCGUGAACCAUCGAGUCUUUGAACGCAAGUUGCGCCCGAAGCCAUUAGGCCGAGGGCACGCCUGCCUGGGUGUCACA
rnacentral:rRNA from 1 species